rnacentral:rRNA from 1 species
GACGAACGCUGGCGGCGUGCUUAACACAUGCAAGUCGAACGGAAAGGCCCUGCUUUUGUGGGGUGCUCGAGUGGCGAACGGGUGAGUAACACGUGAGUAACCUGCCCUUGACUUUGGGAUAACUUCAGGAAACUGGGGCUAAUACCGUAUAGGAGCUCCUGCUGCAUGGUGGGGGUUGGAAAUUUUCGGCGGUUGGGGAUGGACUCGCGGCUUAUCAGCUUGUUGGUGGGGUAGUGGCUUACCGAGGCUUUGACGGGUAGCCGGCCUGAGAGGGUGACCGGCCACAUUGGGACUGAGAUACGGCGCAGACUCCUACGGGAGGCAGCAGUGGGGAAUAUUGCACAAUGGGCGGAAGCCUGAUGCAGCGACGCCGCGUGCGGGAUGACGGCCUUCGGGUUGUAAACCGCUUUCGCCUGUGACGAAGCGUGAGUGACGGUAAUGGGUAAAGAAGCACCGGCUAACUACGUG